AACUGAAUGGAUGACGCCUUUUAGGUUUCAAAUUCAUACACGUCUCUCCUUUCAUCUGGACUACUACCUGACUCACCUCUUAUCCAAAUUCAUGGUCUGAAUUUGUAACUUAAUUGCUAUAUUAUUGAUAAACAUUUAGCUCCAAAUUAAAAAGUUUUUAGGGAGUUCCCGUCGUGGCACAGUGGUUAACGAAUCUGACUAGGAACCAUGAGGUUGCGGGUUUGGUCCCUGCCCUUGCUCAGUGGGUUAACGAUCCGGCGUGGCCGUGAGCUGUGGUGUAGGUCGCAGACGUGGCUCGGAUCCUGCGUUGCUGUGGCUCUGGCGUAGGCCGGUGGCUACAGCUCCGAUUCAACCCCUAGCUUGGGAACCUCCAUAUGCCGUGGGAGCGGCCCAAGAAAUAGCAACAACAACAACAACAAAAGACAAAAAGACAAAAAAAAAAAAAAAAAAAAGUUUUUAACGGCACAACCACUAUGGAAAACAGUAUGGAGGUACCUCAGAAAACUAAGUGUAGAAGUAUCAUAUCAUCCAACAAUCCCACUCUUAGGCAUAUAUCUGGACAAAAGUUGAAUUCAAAAUAAUACCUGCACCCCUGUGUUCACGGCAGCACUAUUCGCAAAAGCCAAGACAUGGAAACAACCUAAAUGUCCAUCAGCAGAUGGAUGGAUGAAGAAGAUGUACACACACACAAUGGAAUACUACUCAGCCAUAAAAAAGAAAAAAAAUAAUACCAUUUGCAGCAACAUGGAUGGAACUAGAGACUCUCACACUAAGUGAAAUCAGUCGGAAAGAGAAAGACAAGCACUAUAUGACACCACUUAUAUCUGGAAUCUAACAUACGGCACAGAUGAGCCUUUCCACAGAAAAGAAACAAACUCAACUUGGAGAACAGACUUGCUGAAGGAGAGGGAGGGGGAGUGGGAUGGACUGGGAGUCUGGAGUUGACAGAUGCAAACUCCUGCCUUUGGAGUGGAUGAGCAAUGAGACCCUGCGUAGCCCAGGGAGCUCUAUCCAGUCCCUUAGCAUGGAGCGUGAUGGAGGAGCAAGUGAGAAAAAGAAUGCCUAUGACUGGGUCACUUUGUUGUACAGCAGGAAUUGACAGAACAUGGUAAAUCGACUGUGAUAGAAAAAACAAAAUCUUAAAAAAAUAUGAAGCCUUCCAAGUUUGUCUGUUUCGGGGAAAGGUUUAUCAGUUGCUGCUUCAUGGUUAUUCGUGCGGUGUGCCUUCCGGAAGUGCUGGAUUCUUUCCGCUUUGAGGUGCUCUUGCCAUUGCCGCUGUUCUAAGACAGGCCCUGAAGGGAAACCCUGAGAGCACCCCCCCCCCACUUGUUACUCGGAUGUGACCCCCAUAGGUCUCCCUGUGGCGCACACGCCUCUCCAUUGGGGACACGUCCCCAGGAAACGUCCUCCCUGGCAUGGAGGGACGAAAAGGUUAAUGAAUCUGGAAAACAGCUAUUGAUAAGCAAUGCUUUCAGAGAAAAAUCUUUUUCUUUUUCUUUUUUUGCUUUUUAGGGCCACACCCGAGGCAUAUGGAGGUUCCCAGGCUAGUGGUCGAAUCAGAGCUGUAGCUACUGGCCUACACAACAGCCACAGCAACUUGCCAUCUGAGCCGCAUCUGUGACCUACACCACAGCUCAUGACGCAGGUCCUUAACCCACCAAGCAAGGCCAGGGAUCGAACCCACAACCUCAUGGUUCCUACUCGGAUUCGUUUCUGCUGCGCCACGUGUGAUGGGAACUCCAGAGAGAAAAAUCUUGAUCUCAGGGGAGAAAUGUGGGGAGAUCCCUCAUGCAGCAGGUCAAGGAUCCAGUGGGUUCCAUCCCUGGCCCAGGAACUUUGGCACGCCCCAGGCUUGGCCAGAAAAUAAAAGGGGGUGGGGAAUGUAAAAAUUAAUCAACAGAAAUUUUAUUUAAGAGGAGGCCAGAAGUGGGAGCUCUCCCCUGCUACUGUGUGGCCUCGGUUGCAGAUCUAAGGGGAGGGGUACUGCCUACUGCCCAGCUGGAGGACGUCUCGCUGCUCAGCAACAGCUCAGCCACUCGAAGCCCAGCUGCCUCCAGCGGACUCUGCUUAGAAAGGCCCCCACUCGCCGUUGCCCUCUGCGAGAGAGUUUCCUUUGUCUGCACUCACGUGUGGCUCGUACUAGGUUGCUUGUCCCGAAUUCCAGCUCUUGCUGGUACAUGACCAGCGGCUGUGUCAUUUUAGGUCACAUCAGCAUUUUCACAAAGGCUCUUCCAGGCGUUCGUCAGAUCAUCUCAAUGCCUGCCUUCUCUUGCUUGCCGCCUGCUGGCCCGUGCCCCGCAUGCCGGAUUUUCAUGGUUCUUCAGGCCUGGACUACUUUGUGUGCCAUGCUGAGAGCUGGGAUCUUGCCUCCAUCCAGUGCAGAAUGCUGGGGCCUAACUGCACCCCCGGUGGUGGGAAACGCAAGCGGGGCUCUUUCCGGGACACAGACCUCCUGAAAGAUGUUGGCACGUGUUCCUUCCAGAAGCAGGGCUAACGGUGGAGCUGUGAGUUUCCCCCUAAGGGUGAUGGAAGGUUCUAGACUAGCGGAAGUGCCCCGUCUGUCCACCCCAGGAUGAGGUCUGUCCCUCUAGGGCACAUGUCCAGGGCAGGGGGUGGCUGUUUGGGGUCAUGGGCUGAGCUGGGACGUGUAGGCCAGGGUGUGCACACCCUGUCCCCUGGGGGUGCGGUCUGGACGUCGGGCCUGGCCUUCCAGGUAGUUCUAGAGGUGUCUGUGCCACAGUGGGUGAGGGGCACACCUCAUCAGUUGAGACAGAGCAUUCGGGCCUCUGGCAGACCCGGCCGUGCUUCUCCCUCGACGAGCCUGCUGCACGAGCUGCUUCCCGGGCGGCUGUCCGCAGCAGCUGGCCUCGCCCCGAAUAAUGGCAAGAACCUCCAUGCAGACGCCCGGGGGGAGGCGCUGGCUCCGUGUCCACCAACUAUAUCUUAAGAGCUAUUGCCAGAUGGAUUUCCAAAAAGGCUACAGCAAUCGGCGUGGCCUUCUCACACAGUCACCAGCACAGGGCACGCCACGUCCCUUUACAUUUUUGGUCAAGCCAACAGGGAGGAAGCGCCUCUCUCCCUGUGCUGGCUCUCCGUCAGCCGCCUCGUUUCCUCCUCUGCGAGUUCCGGUCCCACCUUUUCUUCUCCCUCCUUGUCAUCAUUAUAGAAAAACUCUUUGCAU
rnacentral:lncRNA from 1 species